rnacentral:tRNA from 4 species
GCUCGCAUGGUGCAACGGUUAACAUUCAGCCCUGUCACGGCUGCGAACCGGGUUCGAAUCCCGGUGCGGGCG